rnacentral:rRNA from 1 species
GACGAACGCUGGCGGCGUGCUUAACACAUGCAAGUCGAACGGAAAGGCCCUGCUUUUGUUGGGUGCUCGAUUGGCGAACGGGUGAGUAACACGUGAGUAACCUGCCCUUGACUUUGGGAUAACUUCAGGAAACUGGGGCUAAUACCGGAUAGGAGCUCCUGCUGCAUGGUGGGGGUUGGAAAGUUUCGGCGGUUGGGUAUGUACUCGCGGCUUAUCAGCUUGUUGGUGGGGUAGUUGCUUACCAAGGCUUUGACGGGUAGCCGACCUGAGAGGGUGACCGGCGACAGUGGGACUGAGAUAGGGACCAGACUGCAACGGGAGGCAGCAGGGGGGAAUAUUGCAGAAUGGGGGGAAGCCUGAGGCAGCAACGCCGCGUGCGGGAUGACGGCCUUCGGGUUGUAAACAGAUUUCGACUGUGACGAAGAGUGAGUGACGGUAAUGGGUAAAGAAGCACCGGCUAACUACGUG